rnacentral:rRNA from 1 species
UACGAACCGUACAAACGUUAUUCGGAAUCACUGGGCUUAAAGGGUGCGCAGGCGGCUUGGAAAGUUGGGUGUGAAAUCCCUCGGCUCAACCGAGGAACUGCGCUCAAAACUGUCAAGCUUGAGGGAGGUAGAGGUGAGCGGAACUAAUGGUGGAGCGGUGAAAUGCGUUGAUAUCAUUAGGAACACCAGUUGCGAAGGCGGCUCACUGGACCUCUUCUAACGCUCAGGCACGAAAGCUAGGGUAGCGAACGGG